UAAUGCUUAGGAAUCUGCCUAGUAGUGGGGGAUAACUUGGGGAAACUCAAGCUAAUACCGCAUACGACCUACGGGUGAAAGGGGGCGCAAGCUCUCGCUAUUAGAUGAGCCUAAGUCGGAUUAGCUAGUUGGUGGGGUAAAGGCCUACCAAGGCGACGAUCUGUAGCUGGUCUGAGAGGAUGAUCAGCCACACUGGGACUGAGACACGGCCCAGACUCCUACGGGAGGCAGCAGUGGGGAAUAUUGGACAAUGGGCGAAAGCCUGAUCCAGCCAUGCCGCGUGUGUGAAGAAGGCCUUUUGGUUGUAAAGCACUUUAAGUAGGGAGGAAAAGCUAAUGGUUAAUACCCAUUAGCCCUGACGUUACCUACAGAAUAAGCACCGGCUAACUCUGUGCCAGCAGCCGCGGUAAUACAGAGGGUGCAAGCGUUAAUCGGAAUUACUGGGCGUAAAGCGCGCGUAGGUGGUUACUUAAGUCAGAUGUGAAAGCCCCGGGCUUAACCUGGGAACUGCAUCUGAUACUGGGUAACUAGAGUAGGUGAGAGGGGAGUAGAAUUCCAGGUGUAGCGGUGAAAUGCGUAGAGAUCUGGAGGAAUACCGAUGGCGAAGGCAGCUCCCUGGCAUCAUACUGACACUGAGGUGCGAAAGCGUGGGUAGCAAACAGGAUUAGAUACCCUGGUAGUCCACGCCGUANACGAUGUCUACCAGUCGCUGGGUCUCUUGAAGACUUAGUGACGCAGUUAACGCAAUAAGUAGACCGCCUGGGGAGUACGGCCGCAAGGGUUAAACUCAAAUGAAUU
rnacentral:rRNA from 1 species